CAGAUGCAGUGGGAAUGUUUUUAUGGAGUCCAUCUCUGAUGAGUUUCUGGAAUCACGAUUGAGCCCAGACUCUUUAGAUCAAGCUUCAGCGCUCUUGCCGUUUCUGAGAAGAGGAGAUCCUCCCAGUGAAUCUCAAAAUUGACUGAAUUUUUCUAGAAGCUUGUAUGGUGACACAUUGAGGCUUGCAACUCCAGCCCAGCCCUCAGCGUUGGCGGAGCCUCUUUCCCUGAGGAUGUUGCUACCGCGGUGCAUCCGCAAAGGCCCGUGAGUUGGCUUGAGGAGCAGGUCAAGUUCUCUGGGAGGCAGACUCUGAAGUGGGGAUUUAUGUGCAGGAGGUUUGCUGGAGAGUUCUGUAAGGAAUCACACCUGAAGAUGCUGGAGCAGGACAGAGCUGAUGAAGAAACGGGGUAAUUUGAUGAGCUUUGUCUCAUCACUGCUGUAAGAAGAAGGAAAGUAUUUCCAUCAUGCUGGAAAGUUCUCUCAUCCAUUUGAUUCAAUUACUGGCCCUUCACCCUCCCCCAAUAAGAAAAAACUACUGAUCUUCUUUCUGUCCCCAUGUAUCUACAGACAAGCUCUGCCUUCUCUAGAAUUUGAUACACAUAGAA